rnacentral:rRNA from 1 species
AGUCACUGACAUUAGAUACCCGCGUAGUCCAGGGUGUAAACGCUGCAGACUUGGUGUUGGAGGCCCUUUGGGGGCAUUCAGUGCCGGAGAGAAGUUGUUAAGUCUGCUACUUGGGGAGUACGUCCGCAAGGAUGAAACUUAAAGGAAUUGGCGGGGGAGCACCGCAACGGGAGGAGCGUGCGGUUUAAUUGGAUUCAACACCGUAAAACUCACCAGGGAAGACUGUUACAUGAAGGCCGAGAUGAAGACUCUGCUAGAUUUUCAG